GACGAACGCUGGCGGCGUGCCUAAUACAUGCAAGUAGAACGCUGAAGAGAGGAGCUUGCUCUUCUUGGAUGAGUUGCGAACGGGUGAGUAACGCGUAGGUAACCUGCCUUGUAGCGGGGGAUAACUAUUGGAAACGAUAGCUAAUAUCGCAUAACAAUGGGUGACACAUGUCAUUUAUUUGAAAGGGGCAAUUGCCCCACUACAAGAUGGACCUGCGUUGUAUUAGCUAGUAGGUGAGGUAACGGCUCACCUGGGCGACGAUACAUAGCCGACCUGAGAGGGUGAUCGGCCACACUGGGACUGAGACACGGCCCAGACUCCUACGGGAGGCAGCAGUAGGGAAUCUUCGGCAAUGGGGGCAACCCUGACCGAGCAACGCCGCGUGAGUGAAGAAGGUUUUCGGAUCGUAAAGCUCUGUUGUAAGUCAAGAACGAGUGUGAGAGUGGAAAGUUCACACUGUGACGGUAGCUUACCAGAAAGGGACGGCUAACUACGUGCCAGCAGCCGCGGUAAUACGUGGGUCCCGGGCGUUGUCCGAAUUUAUUGGGCGUAAAGCGAGCGCAGGCGGUUUGAUAAGUCUGAAGUUAAAGGCUGUGGCUCAACCAUAGUUCGCUUUGGAAACUGUCAAACUUGAGUGCAGAAGGGGAGAGUGGAAUUCCAUGUGUAGCGGUGAAAUGCGUAGAUAUAUGGAGGAACACCGGUGGCGAAAGCGGCUCUCUGGUCUGUAACUGACGCUGAGGCUCGAAAGCGUGGGGAGCGAACAGGAUUAGAUACCCUGGUAGUCCACGCCGUAAACGAUGAGUGCUAGGUGUUGGAUCCUUCCCGGGAUUCAGUGCCGCAGCUAACGCAUUAAGCACUCCGCCUGGGGAGUACGACCGCAAGGUUGAAACUCAAAGGAAUUGACGGGGCCCGCACAAGCGGUGGAGCAUGUGGUUUAAUUCGAAGCAACGCGAAGAACCUUACCAGGUCUUGACAUCCCGAUGCUAUUUCUAGAGAUAGAAAGUUACUUCGGUACAUCGGUGACAGGUGGUGCAUGGUUGUCGUCAGCUCGUGUCGUGAGAUGUUGGGUUAAGUCCCGCAACGAGCGCAACCCCUAUUGUUAGUUGCCAUCAUUCAGUUGGGCACUCUAGCGAGACUGCCGGUAAUAAACCGGAGGAAGGUGGGGAUGACGUCAAAUCAUCAUGCCCCUUAUGACCUGGGCUACACACGUGCUACAAUGGUUGGUACAACGGGUUGCGAGUCGGUGACGGCAAGCUGAUCUCUUAAAGCCAAUCUCAGUUCGGAUUGUAGGCUGCAACUCGCCUACAUGAAGUCGGAAUCGCUAGUAAUCGCGGAUCAGCACGCCGCGGUGAAUACGUUCCCGGGCCU
rnacentral:rRNA from 1 species